rnacentral:rRNA from 1 species
UACGUAGGGGGCAAGCGUUGUCCGGAUUUAUUGGGCGUAAAGAGCUCGUAGGUGGUUUGGUAAGUCGGCUGUGAAAUCUCCAGGCUCAACCUGGAGGGGUCAUUCGAUACUGCCAUGACUAGAGGUCGGUAGGGGAGUGUGGAAUUCCUGGUGGAGCGGUGAAAUGCGCAGAUAUCAGGAGGAACACCGGUGGCGAAGGCGGCACUCUGGGCCGGUACUGACGCUGAGGAGCGAAAGCGUGGGGAGCGAACAGG